rnacentral:rRNA from 1 species
AGACGAGGGGUCCAAGCGUUGUUCGGAAUCAUUUGGGCGUAAAGCGGGUGUAGGUGGCUCUAUAAGUCAGGAGUGAAAGCCCCGAGCUUAACUCGGGAAGUGCUUUUGAUACUGUAGAGCUUGAGUGUGGGAGAGGAUCGUGGAAUUCCAGGUGUAGUGGUGAAAUACGUAGAUAUCUGGAGGAACACCGGUGGCGAAGGCGGCGAUCUGGCCCAACACUGACACUGAGACCCG